AUCAAGGAACAAUCCAGGUGGUAUGAUUUGGUUAGACCCUGCAGUCGGUAUUUAUUACUGUUUUUAAUUUUUUAUUAAUUAUUUGAUGUAUACUUGAUCUUGACAUUAGCAUACUUGUCUAAAUAUGAUUUGGUAUCCAGAAGCACAGGUAUUGUCUACUGUUUUACCUGCAUUUUCCAUUAAUAAAUGAAAUGAAUUAUGAUGGGUUUAUGCUAAAUCUAAUUGUUCUUUGCCGCAGAUAGCCCCACAUAUCCAAAUCAGUGGCAUUUACACUCUUGCCCCAUGUUUCAUUGCAGUUUAUACAGAGAAAUUUAAGAACGGUGCAGGGCUGCUCACGUUCAUCUGCUUCACUUCAACUGUAUGUUUCUCUUAACUACAUGCUUUUCUAAUUAAUUUUCACUUAUUAUAUACAUAAAGUCGAAUGUAUACUCUUUGAGACUGAUCACCUGUUAAAGAUAUGAAAGAAUACAUUUUGAGGGCUCAAAUCCAAGACACAUUUGGUUAAGCAUGAAAAGACUUUUGUCUCUUUGAGGCUGACCUCAAAUGAUACAUUCUAAUUUCUGAGGGCCUGCUCAAACCCGAGAUCUUUGAUUAAGUUGGAAGAGACUUUUGCCGUCUCAUUCACACUCUAUUUCGUGUAUAUUUAUGUUAGUUGUGACAUAAUAUGAGCUUGGCUAGACUGUUCAUCAGUCACGCUUGCUUGAGCUAAAAUUCAUGAAGGUCAGCAAGUCACUUCAUGUUAUGUUGGCCCUUAUUUGACUGCUCAUUGGUGAGGCUUCUUAUCAAGACGACAAUGUCAAUACCUACUCUACGAUGGCUUAGGUUUUUGAUUGUUUUUAUGAAUUUGGAGCUGUUGUUUGUAUUAGAGAUGUUCGCUAAAUACAUGCAAGCUAAACACAUGUUUUCAUUAAAAUAAAAAGUUUAGAAUGUUAGGACAAUGAAUGUUAUAAUAUUGAGUUUCACAAUAAUAUUUAUCGAAGAAAUUUUCACUUAUCUACAUAUAUAAUGAUAAACCACUCAUAAAAAGAAUGACUUUUUCCUCGACCAUUUGAGUUGUUAGCAUUAGGAAGCAAACAAGUUGAACUGUUUGAGAGCAAAAUGUGAGGUUGUUUAAUCAAAUCUUGGUUUGAUUUUGGUCAAAUUUAAACUCAAGCAGCUUGUUAAUUAAUCGAGCCAAAUUCAAAUUUAAAGCAUUUUGGCUUAUAGUUCAACUUUUACUUGAGCUUUAUUUAUAUAGCUACAAUUUGAUCUUGAAAGUUCAAUUCAAACUAAUCAGAACUGAGUUCACUAUUAUGAAAAUUAAUUAGUUGAAUUUGAAUCUAAAUUUUAAAAUUUCACCUAACUCAAUCAAUUAUAAUUAUUUCAAAUUUAAACUUAUGUGUCUAUAUUUAAUCUCGGUUUGACUCAUUUUUACUCCUAUUUGGCAAUCAAAAAUGCACCCUCGUUUUUACCCCUAAUUGGCAAAUAAAAUUGCACCCUCAAAUAAGCCAAUGCUAACCGUGAAUUCCAAGGCAAUAAUUGAGUAGCAUUAAAUACUAUUCCGUGCAGGAUUUUUAUUGUCUCUCAGUAUCCCAAAUGUCCACAACGCAAUUACACAAGGUUCACCCAUUCAGCUAUCCUUUCGAGGUGAUAUAAAGUCAACUUUAAUAAAGGGAAUUAUAUGCAUGUUCAUUUGUAGUCAAUUAGGGAGUGUAUGUGAUGUUUAAUAGACGCAAUUAUGUUAGUGCGUUAUUUUAGUGCACUCAACUCAGUUUUGUAUGCUUACUAUACAUGAAAAUGCUAGCUAGCUAGCUACCUAGUUGUAUGUAUCAUUACCCUUUAAUUUGAAUUCUAUGAAGUAAAAAAGUGUAAAGGAAAAUAACAGUUCCUCCCAUUACUA